GCUUUUGUGGUUUGUGGCUACUAGAAACAUGAAAUGUUUGGAACUGGAGGAAAGGGGGGCAGCAAAGAAGAAAAGGUGAAAGAAAGAUCCUGGAAAAGAGCAACACAUUCAGAGCAGCUGGUGGCCAAGAGAGGGAAUGGCAUACAUUACGAAAGAAAUGGCGAGACAUGGCUUCGAAACAAAGCGUAUAAAGCCCCAAGGACAGGAUUCAGAGGCUACGGACCUGAGCUUGUCUAAUGAAAAUGUUCCAGGCCCCAGUGAUCGUCAGCCUCAGCCUCAGCUUUGGUCUACUCAGUCUGAGCAGUGGCGUGAAAUUUUAACACAAAGACGUACCUGCACAGAUCAGGCAAUUAGAAAUUCAGGAGGAGCUGCUGAGAAUACAACUGGCCAAAUUAAUAGUUAAACAGAAGCAAGUACAUAUAAGCAAAUCAAUUUUAGAAGAGCUAAGGAGUAUCCACAAUAGGCCUACCCUAGCAAAUAAACCCACAGCCAUAGAUUUCCUUAAUUCAACUCAACAAGGGGGCUAUUUAUCAUGUUUUUCCAUAAUUUUAUUCAAAGUUUUGAGGUGAAUUUUGCUACCUCCCAAAUUAAGUAUAUUCAGCA